rnacentral:lncRNA from 1 species
AUAAAUUCAGCAAGUAUUCAACCAAUUGGAUGUAGGAGUGUUCUUUGCAAAUAAAAAAGAGAUCGGUGUUGCGGGUAAGAUGUUCGACAAAAGUCCCGAACAAAGUGUUUACACUGAUGCAGUUAAUUUAAAACCUGUAGAUGGUUAUGACAUUCAAAGGAAGACUAUGAAAGAGGUAGACAAUGGUAAUGCAUUUUUAUUGUGGAUUCAAGUUCAGCAAUGAGCUUAGUCUCAAUAUGUGACUAAGGAAAAAAGAUACAUAUUUCAAUUAAAAUCUUCAAGGGUUAAUAAUCACACUAACAGUUGCAUAGAGAAUAAUUUUUGCAUCUACAAGUACAAAAAAAAUUACCCAUCUCAUCCUCUUCACUUGUUACAGAUUGCUUCAAAUGGGACAUGUAACGAUCAGGCAACUUUGAUAGAACAGAUUCCUCAAAGUGUUGUUCCAUAUCUUCCGUACGCCUAAAACCAUAUUAUAAAGUACAAAGAGUAAGAGAGUUGAAAUGUUUAAAAUCAUGAGAAAAUGAAAAGACUUCCUUUUGGCAAACUUUUGUUCCUGCUUAGAUAGCCGAUUCCCAACACUACUACAAAACAGUAUAUAGACAACGCGAAAAAAACGUUGUGGUUUCAGUCAAAAAAACGUCGUGGUUAAGGGUGUUGUCUAUUUGACACCCUUACACAACGUUUUUAAAACGUUGUAGUUAAGCACAAUACACAACGUUUUUUAGGAAAAAAAUAUUGUAGAUUUAUUUUCCAAAAAUUAGC